rnacentral:lncRNA from 14 species
UGGAUGAGAAUGGCAUUCUGAAAAGUUUGAUAAGAAAGAGCUGAGGGGAAGCUGAGUCAGCACCAAACAGUUUUAAAGAGUAAAAAUCGUGGCUUUUACAAGGGUCUACUUCGAUGUUUUAGAAGAUAUUUGAAAGUGCAUCUCCACAAGAAUCAGC